AUUGGUGGUACUAGUGAUUCUCUGUGAUGAGGAAAGGAUUAUGCUAACUACUACCAGAUGUAAUUAGUAGGAGCAGAGCUGUGCUGCAUUUAUUUCCGGUAUGGUGUAUUAUAGCAGUAUUCUAGACUGGCUGAUGUCAAAUUAAGAACAAUAUAAGCAGACCUGACGAUUGGGUGUAAUGAAAAUGUUCACAAUUCAUGUGCAGGUGGAAAAACAGCGGAUGGCUUUAGAUGCAGCAGAUUUUCUGUAACUCUCAGGAGAAGUACUCAAACCAAAGCAUCUCUGAGGAAUUGAUUUGAUGUUUAUUAAAACUUGAAUGAAUGUAAUAUUGCCUUUCUGAAGCCUGUUUGUUCUGACUGCAGGCUGUCCUACCUCUACAUACAGAUGCUCUCAAAUUUAUACUUAAGAUAAAGAGCUGAAAUUUGAGGCAAAAGCUGUGAAUUCAGAAUGGAUACAUGUUUAAGCCAGAUUUCCAGAUUGCUUGUUCUACCUCAAAAACACAGGUGA